CAACUCUAUAUAAGCGUGCCCUAAAUAUUUUUAAAAAUUUCCGCUAUAAUUUCCCCCUAAAAUUUUUACUGAAAAACUAUGCCCUAAAAUAUUCGCUAAAACAUGUCUCUCAUUUUUACACGAAAAUCUCCUUUUUUUUCCUUAAAAUUUCAUAAUCAAAGUUGAGGGCUCUUCUCGUAUCUUUUAGCAGAUUGAUUGAAGCAAAUUAGAGUGAGUUCAAUUAAAUCUAUCGGGUUCUGUGGAAAUCACUCACGGAGAUGCUAAAUUUUGUCUCGGUUAUGUGCCAUCCGAUUCAAUUGGGAAUCUCAUUGUUUAGGGUUUACUAUCAUUUCUCAAAACUUGGAUAAGAUGACUGCUAAUUUUGAAAUUAAGCUCUAUUAUUUUGUGAUGGGAGGUUAUUAUUCUUGAAAGGUGAAUGCUCUUCUUCUUUCAUACAGUAUUUGCUCUUUAGAGCAGGUUGAAAUAAUUGGGGAUUUCAUUGUUUAGGGCUUACAACCGCAUCCAAAAACUUGGGUGGUGGAAGUAAUUUAUUUUUGAUUGAGGAUUAUUCAUAUGAUACACUCGUCUAUUGAGGUAAAGUGUAACUGUUAAUAUCCACUUCCAGUGUGUUGUUGUUCAAUACCAAAAAAUGAUUCAUUUCCAAUGGAUUAUUAUCAAUCAACUAUUUAUCAGUUGAAAGGGACAAAGGUCACGAUGUAGAUGUACGUAUGUAUGUGGAGGAUUGUUGCUUAGUUGUUAAUAUCCUUGAUGUUUAAAAAAAGAAGAAAAAUUAAGAUUAGCAACUUCUUACCGCCUGAUCUGUUCUUUUGAUAGAAAUUUUUUAUAGCUCUUGCUGCUUAGUUUCCCGGUAUUGAGGUUUAUAUAGCUUUGGUUAAAGCCAAUAGUGUGCAUGAUUCAAUUGAAUUUUGGGCUUGAAAUGAAUAUGAUAUUUUAUGGAUAUGUUGAAAGCAUGCUCUGAGUUGUUAUUACAGUGUUCUUUGUGUGUUUUGGGGAGUAUAUAUGCUAAAAUAUUUGAAGAUUUGGUUAGGUCCUAUGCUUGUUUAACUCGGUUUAAAGAAUCUGUUGGGUUAGAAUAUAAUAAUAAGUAUGUCCCAGUAUAUUUGUUUAAACCAAUUUGCCACCCACAUUAGAAGCUUUAUCGUCUAUUGUAUCAAGUUAUAAUAUUGAAUUUCUUCAAAAUUAAUUAUUUACAAAAAGCUCAUUAAAAGAGAGGGAAAACACACACAUAGGAGAAAAAUGAAGUAACAAAAAAAUUUCUCUGGAAGAAAUAGUUGAUUCUUCACGUACUCUUGCAAAAAUUUGUACCAGCUUUCUUAUUGUUUAGAAAAAAUGCCAAUUUAAACUGGUUAGUUUAUCAAUGGACCCUUUUUUUCUAUUUCAUUAUUGUUUUACCAUUAUGUCUAGGAGAAUUUCAACCAUGUUGCUAGUCUUUCACAUUCCCUUUUUAAGUACAUACUCAUUUAUGGGGAUUUCUUUGCUUGGUCAGUGAAUCUUGUUAAUGAUCUUGGUGUAAAAUUAUCAAGAGGCUAGAUAAAUGUAUAGAUGGAUAAUUGUCCACUUUGAGAUGAUCUUUGAACUUAAUCAGUUGUUGCAGUUGUUUUCCUGUUAAAUAGUGGAAAUCUUCAGACUUCUAGCAGUUUUAACUCCCCAAGGGAUACAGGGCGACUCAAGGUUCAAGGCUCCGAUCGUUCAUGCACUUUCGUAGAGGAAAGUUCUGGCGAGCAAUUGGAAAUGGUGGCCAAAGACAAUUUCAUCUAUGAGAAUUUAAUGAUGACUAUGGACAAUUAAAUUUUUUGUAUUCACGAUACUAUAGUAGUACGUUUGGAUUUGUAAAGUUGAAAUACUAGCAUGGCCCUUGAAACAAUUUGCUUUAUACAUUAAUUUAGUACACAAGAUUUA